AAACUGUUUAAAUAGUGCCAAAACCACAUAAUUUGAUGACCUUGACCUUUGACCUUGUAACCUUCGUCAAGGUCAUUGCUCCACAAGGUCAUUGCAAAAGACCCUAUGGGUCAAGGACCUUUUGUUUAAGAGUUUUGCCUAAAAAUGGCUUUUUAAAAACCAUCGAUGGGAGUUAUGUCCCUUACAUGAUGGUAAAAUCAAUAUAGUCAUAAUGUAAAAAAGUUGCCUAUUGAAGUACCAAGCAUUUUUCACUGCUUAAUUUUUUUGUAUCUAUAACCGUUCAAGAGUUAUAGGGAAAUCAAAGACAUAUGAAAAUCUAAAAUAUGACCUUGACCUUUGACCUUGACCUAAUUUUCUAAGUUAGGAAUCAGGGGACUCAAAUAAAAACAUUCCAGGGUUAUACGGUUAACGGUUUAUGAGUUAAAAAAACAUACCGACAAAUUUAUUCCGAAAAGAUAGAUAACUCCUAUAAAAUUUCUUCGAAUCGCUUCGAUCCAAAUACGCCAAAAAUUACUGAGGAUGUAACGAACAAUUUUGUAAAAUAAAUUUGUCAUAAUCUUUAACGGUUGCGAAGGAGAUGCCAUAACAAGGAAAACAGUGUUUGGGGAGAUAACUCCUACAAAGAAAAGUAUUCGUUUACGCAGGGUAAAUUUCAAAAGCGCAUAAACUGUUCGAUAUCAUAUACAAAAUAUCUAAGCGACAUAUUGCGAAACAAAUGUUUAUCGCAAGAACAAAAUUAGGCGGAAGAAAAAAAAAAUAAUCAGAAGAAAAACAAUAGGUCUUUCCACAGAAAAGUGGAAAGACCUAAUUAAUU
rnacentral:lncRNA from 1 species